GCUCCCAUAGCUUAACGGAUAAAGUAGCAGUUUCCGGAACUGCUGAUACAGGUUCGAUUCCUGUUGGGAGCA
rnacentral:tRNA from 1 species